rnacentral:rRNA from 3 species
UGGGGAAUAUUGCACAAUGGGCGCAAGCCUGAUGCAGCGACGCCGCGUGCGGGAUGACGGCCUUCGGGUUGUAAACCGCUUUUGACAGGGACGAAGCGCAAGUGACUGUACCUGUAGAAUAAGGACCGGCCAACUACGUGCCAGCAGCCGCGGUAAUACGUAGGGUCCGAGCGUUGUCCGGAAUUACUGGGCGUAAAGAGCUUGUAGGCGGUUCGUCGCGUCGUUUGUGAAAACUUGGGGCUCAACCUUAAGCUUGCAGGCGAUACGGGCGGACUAGAGUACUUCAGGGGAGACUGGAAUUCCUGGUGUAGCGGUGAAAUGCGCAGAUAUCAGGAGGAACACCGGUGGCGAAGGCGGGUCUCUGGGAAGUAACUGACGCUGAGAAGCGAAAGCAUGGGUAGCAAACAGG